AUUGAACGCUGGCGGCAGGCCUAACACAUGCAAGUCGAGCGAGCGGCGGACGGGUGAGUAAUGUAUGGGGACUGCCCGAUAGAGGGGGAUAACUACUGGAAACGGUAGCUAAUACCGCAUACUAUCGGAUAACCCAUAUGGGAUUAGCGAGUAGGUGAGGUAAUGGCUCACCUAGGCGACGAUCCCUAGCUGGUCUGAGAGGAUGAUCAGCCACACUUGGGCUGAGACACGGCCCAGGCUCCUACGGAGGCAGCAGUGGUGAAGAUGGCAGUAUGGGCGCAAGCCUGAUGCAGCCCUGCCGCGUGUAGUAAGAAGGCCCUAGGGUUGUUAAGUACUUUCAGUCUGGAGGCGUUACCGACAGAAGAAGCACCUGCUGACUCCGUGCCAGCAGCCGCGGUAAUUC
rnacentral:rRNA from 1 species